GGAGGAAAAAGAAACCAACAGGGAUUGCCUCAGUAACGGCGAGUGAAGCGGCAAAAGCUCAAAUUUGAAAUCUAGCACUUUCAGUGUUCGAGUUGUAAUUUGAAGAAGGUAACUUUGGUUUUGGCUCUUGUCUAUGUUCCUUGGAACAGGACGUCACAGAGGGUGAGAAUCCCGUGCGAUGAGAUGCCCAAUUCCAUGUAAAGUGCUUUCGAAGAGUCGAGUUGUUUGGGAAUGCAGCUCUAAGUGGGUGGUAAAUUCCAUCUAAAGCUAAAUAUUGGCGAGAGACCGAUAGCGAACAAGUACAGUGAUGGAAAGAUGAAAAGAACUUUGAAAAGAGAGUGAAAAAGUACGUGAAAUUGUUGAAAGGGAAGGGCUUGAGAUCAGACUUGGUAUUUUGCGUUCCCUUCCUUUUUGGUUGGGUUCCUCGCAGUUUACUGGGCCAGCAUCGGUUUGGAUGGUAGGAUAAUGACAUUGGAAUGUAGCUUUACUUCGGUGAAGUGUUAUAGACUUUGUUGAUACUGCCUAUCUA
rnacentral:rRNA from 1 species